AAGUGUUUCAUGAACAUAGUUUCUUUCUAGAGCAGGGCUGUCAAACUCGCGGCCCACAGAACAGAUACGUCAUGCGCUGGCCACACCCACACCCGGUUUAACGAAGGGGGGAAAAAGUCACGAUACGUCACGUGAUGCUGCUGUGACAACUCAUAUUCACAUAUGCAAGUCUUCUCAUCUUUUGUCUGCCAUCAAACAUUCAUGAUUCCCUACGUUAAGUCUCUCUGUCUGGCUGUGUACAGUUGAUGUGCAUGGAAGGAGAUAUCCUCUAAUAGACUUGGUGAGCGGUGAGGCUGUGAGAAAUAAUUUAGAAUCGACGAGGGAAGCAUAAUGCUUUUUAAUUGCCAUCAAGUACCAUGUCACAGGCAUGUAUUAUUGAUACUGAUUAUCCCUAUAAAGCACUUGCUUUUCUGUGUAUUCAGCUUUGA